rnacentral:tRNA from 3 species
GCGGGAUUGGUUUAGUGGUAGAACAAGAGAUUUCCAAUCUCUUGGCAGGCGUUCGAUUCGCCUAUCCCGCACAA